rnacentral:rRNA from 1 species
GAUCAACGCUGGCGGCGCACAUAAGACAUGCAAGUUGAACGGACUUAAUCGAAAUAUUUAUAUUUUGAAGCGGUUAGUGGCGGACUGGUGAGUAACGCGUAAGGAACCUGCCUAUUAGAGGGGAAUAACAGUGAGAAAUCAUUGCUAAUACCGCAUAUGCCAUAGAUAUCACAUGAUGACAGUGGGAAAGGAGCAAUCCGCUAAUAGAUGGCCUUGCGUCUGAUUAGAUAGUUGGUGGGGUAACGGCCUACCAAGUCGACGAUCAGUAGCCGGACUGAGAGGUUGAACGGCCACAUUGGGACUGAGAUACGGCCCAGACUCCUACGGGAGGCAGCAGUCGGGAAUAUUGCGCAAUGGAGGAAACUCUGACGCAGUGACGCCGCGUAUAGGAAGAAGGUUUUCGGAUUGUAAACUAUUGUCGUUAGGGAAGAGAAAGGACAGUACCUAAGGAGGAAGCUCCGGCUAACUACGUG